UACGGAGGGGACUAGCGUUGUUCGGAAUUACUGGGCGUAAAGCGCACGUAGGCGGAUUUGUAAGUCAGGGGUGAAAUCCCGGGGCUCAACCUCGGAACUGCCUUUGAUACUGCAAAUCUCGAGUCCGGAAGAGGUGAGUGGAAUUCCUAGUGUAGAGGUGAAAUUCGUAGAUAUUAGGAAGAACACCAGUGGCGAAGGCGGCAUUCUGGACCGAUAUUGACGCUGAGGAGCGAAAGCCAGGGGAGCAAACGGG
rnacentral:rRNA from 1 species